rnacentral:rRNA from 1 species
GCUUGUCUCAAAGAUUAAGCCAUGCAUGUCUAAGUAUAAAUGUUAUACAGUGAAACUGCGAAUGGCUCAUUAAAACAGUUAUAGUUUAUUUGAUAAUCGAAUUUACAUGGAUAACCGUGGUAAUUCUAGAGCUAAUACAUGCUGGUUAGCCUGACUUUUAGGAAGGGCUGUAUUUAUUAGACUUAAGCCAAUAUUCCUUGUGUCUAUUGCGAUGAUUCAUAAUAACUGAUCGAAUCUCAAAUUUGAGAUAAAUCAUUCAAGUUUCUGCCCUAUCAGCUUUCGAUGGUAGUGUAUUGGACUACCAUGGCAGUAACGGGUAACGAAGAAUUAGGGUUCGAUUUCGGAGAGGGAGCAUGAGAAACGGCUACCACAUCUAAGGAAGGCAGCAGG